rnacentral:rRNA from 1 species
ACUCAAAUGAAUUGACGGGGACCCACACAAGCGGUGGAGCAUGGGGUUUAAUUCGAUAGUAAGCGAAGCACCUCACCCAGGUUUGACAUCCUAAGAAUCCCCCAGAAACGGGGGAGUGCCGCAAGGAACUUAGAGACAGGCGCUGCACGGUUGUCGUCAGCUCGUGCCUUGAGGUGUACUGUUAAGUCAGCGAACGAGCGCAACCCUCAUCCUAUGUUGAUUUUUCAUGGGAGACUGCCGCCUCCAAGGCGGAGGAAGGUGGGGAUGACGUCAAAUCAGCGUGGCCCUUAUACCUGGGGCAACACCCGUGCUACAAUGGUCGGUACAGCGAGCAGCGAACCCGCGAGGGGGAGCAAAUCUCGAAAAGCCGAUCUCAGUUCGGAUUGAAGUCUGCAACUCGACUUCAUGAAGUUGGAAUCGCUAGUAACCGUGAAUCAGCUACGUCACGGUGAAUAUGUUCCUGGGUCUUGUACACACCGCCCGU